rnacentral:rRNA from 1 species
GACGAACGCUGGCGGCGUGCUUAACACAUGCAAGUCGAACGGAAAGGCCCUGCUUUUGUGGGGUGCUCGAGUGGCGAACGGGUGAGUAACACGUGAGUAACCUGCCCUUGACUUUGGGAUAACUUCAGGAAACUGGGGCUAAUACCGGAUAGGAGCUCCUGCUGCAUGGUGGGGGUUGGAAAGUUUCGGCGGGUGGGGAUGGACUCGCGGCUUAUCAGCUUGUUGGUGGGGUAGUGGCUUACCAAGGCUUUGACGGGUAGCCGGCCUGAGAGGGUGACCGGCCACCUUGGGACUGAGAUACGGCGCAGACUCCUACGGGAGGCAACAGUGGGGAAUAUUGCACAAUGGGCGGAAGCCUGAGGAAGCAACGCCGCGUGCGGGAUGACGGCCUUCGGGUUGUAAACCGCUUUCGCCUGUGACGAAGCGUGAGUGACGGUAAUGGGUAAAGAAGCACCGGCUAACUACGUG